AAGUCGGUCCUACGUCGCCGCCAUCUUGAUAUUUAUCAACCAGCGUUUAGUUUUAUAAUGAAUAUAACCCAAUUGGACUUUGGAACAUAAAGAUGGCUGACCGACGAAAAUUACAAGCCGAAAUCGAUCGGUGUAUAAAGAAGGUAGACGAAGGUGUUCAGACAUUUCAAGAAAUAUGGGAUAAGGUUCAUAAUGCAAGCAAUACGAACCAAAAAGAAAAAUUUGAAGCUGAUUUGAAAAAAGAAAUAAAGAAAUUACAACGCCUACGAGACCAAAUCAAAUCAUGGCUUACUUCCAAUGAUAUUAAAGAUAAACGCCAGUUACAGGAAUAUAGACGUUUGAUAGAAACGCAGAUGGAACGUUUUAAAGUAGUUGAAAGGGAAACUAAAACAAAAGCGUAUUCGAAAGAAGGGCUCGGUUCUGCUCAGAAACUAGAUCCAGCUCAAAAAGAGAAAGAUGAUAUUUGUCAUUUCCUUGCGUCAUUAAUUGAAAAAUUGAAUAUUCAAAUUGAUAAAUGUGAGAGUGAAGUCGAAAGUUUGAACGCUAAUAAGAAAAAGAAGACUGAUAAAGAUAAAUUAGCUAAAUUGGAUGAUCUUCAGUAUCGGUUGCAACGUCAUCAAUUUCAUGUUAGCCGAAUGGAGACGUUAAUGCGUAUGCUGGACAAUGAUGCUGUUGAUGUUGAGGGAAUAAAAGGUAUUCAAGAUGGCCUUGAGUAUUAUGUAGACUCAAAUCAAGAUGUUGAUUUUAUGGAAGACGAAGCGAUCUACGAGGAUUUGAAUGUAGAGUCAUUUUAUCUACAACAAAACUCCUUAGCAUCCGUUCAGGAGAACGAAGGGGAUACUGAUUCGCCUCCUGAUACUCCUCCCAUUGAAGAAAGCGCACCACCAAAAUUAAAUCGGACGCCUAGUAAUGAAGAACAAAAAACGGCUAGGAAGGUUGUAAAUAAUAAUCCAACGGCGCCGCCUCCGGCACCUCCUACACCGCCACCUCCUCCUCCACCAGCGCCUACGAGGAGAACACCAACCCCUGUUCAUUCGCCGAUUCAGGUUCAACAGCUUCCGCCCAUAUCGCCUCCUCCCCCGUUAGUAAAUGGAACAACACCGCAAUUAUCAUCUUUAAAGAGUAUGGCACAACAAACACUCGCAGAGUCAGAAGCAGGGCAGCAGCUGCAAUCGGUAGCUCCUCCCCCUCAGCCUUCCAUUACCCAUACGUCAUCGGCUUCUCCCAUCACAAGUGCUCCUCAACAGACUUGUACGAUAAAGCUUAAUCCUAUGUUAGGAGUAGCGCCUUUGGGUCCGCAACCGCUUAACGAAGAGCAUAAAAGGGAAAUUAGAAUGCAGGAGUCGGCAUUUAAUCAUGUACCACAACCAUCCGACUCUGAAAGAUUACGACUGUACAUGCCAAGGAAUCCUUAUCAAACGGCCCAACAUUUUCCUCAAGUGCCGCCUCCACAUUCUGACACUGUUGAAUUUUUUCAACGAUUAUCUACAGAGACGCUGUUCUAUAUAUUUUAUUAUAUGGAAGGUACGAAGGCUCAGUACAUGGCGGCAAAGGCUUUGAAGAAACAAUCCUGGAGGUUUCAUACAAAAUAUAUGAUGUGGUUCCAGAGGCACGAAGAACCUAAAACUAUAACUGAUGAAUACGAACAGGGAACAUAUAUAUUUUUUGAUUAUGAAAAAUGGGGUCAGCGGAAAAAAGAGGGUUUCACUUUUGAAUAUCGCUAUCUGGAAGACCGAGACCUUAAUUAAAUAUAAGUCCUUUCUACCCCCUUCCUCUUCUAAAAAAUAAACCGCAGUCAUCAACUUUAUUAAGCGUUUAAAAAUUAGACUGUUAUAUUUUUUCCGUAUGAAAAUAUUUGAUGUACUGAUGUUAAAACAUUUCAGACAUAAAGACGUUUUAAGCAGGAAAAAAUACAAAUAAUUGCAAAACAAAUCAAGUUGUUAAAGGCUAAACAAAGUUGAUCUUCUCAGAUCACAACUAGAAGAAGGAAUCGAAGUAGUAAAGCCAAUUAGUUAAAAAAGUUAAAGAAUUGCUCAAUUCCAGAAGAAAUUAUCAUAAUCUCUGCUGUGAGAUAGAUAUGUAUAUGCAAUAUAUAUACAUAUAAUGAUAUAUUUAUUUUUUUUUUUCAUUAAAUUUACUUGAUCCUACUAAAAUAUAUAUAUUUUUUAAACUUUUCCCCUCCUCCCUCCUUUAUAAGCAAAAGAGAAAAAGAUUAAAAAAAAAGAAAAAUUUGACUGUUUAGAAAGUUAACAUUUUCUAAAUCGUAACUGCCCGUUUUUUUUUUUUUUUUU
rnacentral:misc_RNA from 1 species